rnacentral:rRNA from 1 species
CACGUAGGGGGGCGAGCGUUUGUCCGGAUUUAUUGGGCGUAAAGAGCUCGUAGGCGGUUCGGCAAGUCGGGUGUGAAAUUUCGAGGCUCAACCUCGAAACGCCACUCGAUACUGCUGUGACUGGAGUCCGGUAGAGGAGUGCGGAAUUCCUGGUGUAGCGGUGAAAUGCGCAGAUAUCAGGAGGAACACCAACGGCGAAGGCAGCACUCUGGGCCGGUACUGACGCUGAGGAGCGAAAGCGUGGGGAGCAAACAGG